rnacentral:rRNA from 1 species
UUUUUUAGGGUUGUGUAUCUGGCUCAGGAUGAACGCUGGCGGCGUGCCUAAUACAUGCAAGUCGAGCGAACGGACGAGAAGCUUGCUUCUCUGAUGUUAGCGGCGGACGGGUGAGUAACACGUGGAUAACCUACCUAUAAGACUGGGAUAACUUCGGGAAACCGGAGCUAAUACCGGAUAAUAUUUUGAACCGCAUGGUUCAAAAGUGAAAGACGGUCUUGCUGUCACUUAUAGAUGGAUCCGCGCUGCAUUAGCUAGUUGGUAAGGUAACGGCUUACCAAGGCAACGAUGCAUAGCCGACCUGAGAGGGUGAUCGGCCACACUGGAACUGAGACACGGUCCAGACUCCUACGGGAGGCAGCAGUAGGGAAUCUUCCGCAAUGGGCGAAAGCCUGACGGAGCAACGCCGCGUGAGUGAUGAAGGUCUUCGGAUCGUAAAACUCUGUUAUUAGGGAAGAACAUAUGUGUAAGUAACUGUGCACAUCUUGACGGUACCUAAUCAGAAAGCCACGGCUAACUACGUGCCAGCAGCCGCGGUAAUACGUAGGUGGCAAGCGUUAUCCGGAAUUAUUGGGCGUAAAGCGCGCGUAGGCGGUUUUUUAAGUCUGAUGUGAAAGCCCACGGCUCAACCGUGGAGGGUCAUUGGAAACUGGAAAACUUGAGUGCAGAAGAGGAAAGUGGAAUUCCAUGUGUAGCGGUGAAAUGCGCAGAGAUAUGGAGGAACACCAGUGGCGAAGGCGACUUUCUGGUCUGUAACUGACGCUGAUGUGCGAAAGCGUGGGGAUCAAACAGGAUUAGAUACCCUGGUAGUCCACGCCGUAAACGAUGAGUGCUAAGUGUUAGGGGGUUUCCGCCCCCUUUAGUGCUGCAAGCUAACGCAUUAAGCACUCCGCCUGGGGAGUACGACCGCAAGGUUGAAACUCAAAGGAAUUGACGGGGACCCGCACAAGCGGUGGAGCAUGUGGUUUAAUUCGAAGCAACGCGAAGAACCUUACCAAAUCUUGACAUCCUUUGACAACUCUAGAGAUAGAGCUUUCCCCUUCGGGGGACAAAGUGACAGGUGGUGCAUGGUUGUCGUCAGCUCGUGUCGUGAGAUGUUGGGUUAAGUCCCGCAACGAGCGCAACCCUUAAGCUUAGUUGCCAUCAUUAAGUUGGGCACUCUAAGUUGACUGCCGGUGACAAACCGGAGGAAGGUGGGGAUGACGUCAAAUCAUCAUGCCCCUUAUGAUUUGGGCUACACACGUGCUACAAUGGACAAUACAAAGGGCAGCGAAACCGCGAGGUCAAGCAAAUCCCAUAAAGUUGUUCUCAGUUCGGAUUGUAGUCUGCAACUCGACUACAUGAAGCUGGAAUCGCUAGUAAUCGUAGAUCAGCAUGCUACGGUGAAUACGUUCCCGGGUCUUGUACACACCGCCCGUCACACCACGAGAGUUUGUAACACCCGAAGCCGGUGGAGUAACCUUUUAGGAGCUAGCCGUCGAAGGUGGGACAAAUGAUUGGGGUGAAGUCGUACAAAGGGUAAACCGGAAA